UGUGUUUAGUGUCUUAGAUGUACUCUCUCUCUCUCUGAUGAUGUGUUGUCACCAUGUGUGCAGGCUUUGUGGGGGCCUUUUCUGUUGCUAGUCAAGGAGUAGCUCUUGGUGUUUGUCCCAUGCUUGCUACAGGUUCUUGAUACGUCUAUUUGAUGAAAUAAAAUGCCUUUCUUGCAUGUUUUCUUCUACUUGCGGAUGUGGUAACAUCUUCUGAAUUCGACCCUACUCAGUGGCACUUGAACUUAUAUUAGGAGUAAAGAAAAUUCAACAACUGCAAAGGAACCAUUAUUCAUUGGGAAAACUGAAUUCGACCAGCUCAACAAAUAUUUAGGACUCUCGGCACACCAAGUAGGAAUCCUAAAAUCGGCCACGGAAGAUGGAGAGAUUGGUUUUCGGUUCAGGUCUGCACUUCUGAUUUUAGAUGACUGUCUCAUCCAUUGAUUGAGAACCAGAGACUCUCAACAUAUGAUCACCUGAUUAUUAGGAUCGAUAGAUUUUAAUUUCUCUGUUUAUAAGGCCUGCAUUUUGAGCUAUUCGGAUUGGCCCUAUUCAAAAUUUUAAUUUUGCUGGGCCAGGUUCGGCCUAGGGCUUGUCAUACUAAUUAUUCAUGCAUUAUUGUCCCGAUAUCUCCUGUUAGGAGACAUUUUUUCUUCUCCUAAUGUGACAGUAAAUGCUCAACAUCCAUAGUUCAAAAACUUGAAAACUCAAGACUCAAGUCAAUGUUU